rnacentral:rRNA from 1 species
AGUGAACGCUGGCGGUAGGCCUAACACAUGCAAGUCGAACGGCAGCACAGUAAGAGCUUGCUCUUGCGGGUGGCGAGUGGCGGACGGGUGAGGAAUACAUCGGAAUCUACUUUUUCGUGGGGGAUAACGUAGGGAAACUUACGCUAAUACCGCAUACGACCUACGGGUGAAAGCAGGGGAUCUUCGGACCUUGCGCGAUUGAAUGAGCCGAUGUCGGAUUAGCUAGUUGGCGGGGUAAAGGCCCACCAAGGCGACGAUCCGUAGCUGGUCUGAGAGGAUGAUCAGCCACACUGGAACUGAGACACGGUCCAGACUCCUACGGGAGGCAGCAGUGGGGAAUAUUGGACAAUGGGCGCAAGCCUGAUCCAGCCAUACCGCGUGGGUGAAGAAGGCCUUCGGGUUGUAAAGCCCUUUUGUUGGGAAAGAAAAGCAGCAGGUUAAUACCCCGCUGUUCUGACGGUACCCAAAGAAUAAGCACCGGCUAACUUCGUA